CCAGCAGUGGGCCAGUCACGGAAGACAAGUCCUCAUCCAAGGACAUGAACUCCCCAACAGACCGUCAUCCUGACGGCUAUUUAGCCAGGUAAGUAGAGCCGGGGAAUCAGGCCCCUAAGCCUCCACUCCUGGGGCCAUGAGGAGUCACUGUACCCUCAGCCUUGCAGUACUGCCCGGUGUGAUACACUCUUCUGUUUUCUCCCUGUUUCUGUGAACGUCUAGGCAACGAAAAAGAGGAGAGCCACCCCCUCCAGUAAGGCGUCCUGGCAGGACCAGUGAUGGCCAUUGCCCGCUCCACCCUCCACAUGCGCUUUCUAACUCCUCAGUUGACCUGGGGUCCCCGAGCCUUGCCAGUCACCCCCGGGGCCUGCUGCAGAACCGUGGCCUCAACAAUGACAGUCCUGAGCGGAGGCGCAGGCCUGGCCAUGGCAGCCUGACCAACAUCAGCCGGCACGACUCCCUCAAGAAGAUCGACAGCCCUCCCAUUAGAAGGUCCACGUCAUCAGGGCAAUACACGGGCUUCAAUGACCACAAGCCACUGGACCCAGAGACAAUUGCUCAGGAUAUUGAAGAAACGAUGAACACAGCUUUGAAUGAACUCCGAGAACUGGAGAGACAGAGCACAGCAAAGCAUGCCCCUGAUGUGGUGCUGGAUACCCUGGAGCAAGUGAAAAACUCUCCCACCCCUGCCACUUCCACGGAAUCUCCCAGCCCUUUGCACAACGUUGCCCUCAGGAGCUCCGAGCCUCAGAUUCGACGUAGCACGAGCUCCUCCAGUGACACAAUGAGUACUUUCAAGCCUAUGGUGGCACCCAGAAUGGGCGUGCAGCUGAA
rnacentral:sRNA from 1 species